rnacentral:rRNA from 1 species
AAACCAACAGGGAUUGCCCUAGUAACGGCGAGUGAAGCGGCAACAGCUCAAAUUUGAAAUCUGGCCCCCCCCCCGCGGGGGCCCGAGUUGUAAUUUGCAGAGGAUGCUUCUGGCGCGGCGCCUUCCGAGUUCCCUGGAACGGGACGCCAUAGAGGGUGAGAGCCCCGUCUGGUCGGCCGCCAAGCCUCUGUGAAGCUCCUUCGACGAGUCGAGUAGUUUGGGAAUGCUGCUCAAAAUGGGAGGUAUAUGUCUUCUAAAGCUAAAUACCGGCCAGAGACCGAUAGCGGACAAGUAGAGUGAUCGAAAGAUGAAAAGCACUUUGAAAAGAGGGUUAAACAGUACGUGAAAUUGUUGAAAGGGAAGCGCUCGCGACCAGACUCGGGCCCGGCGGAUCAUCCGGCGUUCCUCGCCGGUGCACUCCGCCGGCGCCCGGGCCAGCAUCGGCUCGCCGCGGGGGAUAAAGGCGGCGGGAACGUGGCCCCUCCGGGGGUGUUAUAGCCCGCCGCGCAAUGCCCCGCGCCGCGGGCCGAGGACCGCGCCCUAGGCAAGGAUGCUGGCGUAAUGGUCGCUAGCGAC